rnacentral:rRNA from 1 species
CCGGCGACCGGCGCACGGGUGAGUAACACGUAUGCAACCUGCCCUCUUCAGGGGACAACCUUCCGAAAGGGAGGCUAAUCCCGCGUAUNUCGGUUUCGGGCAUCCGAGAUCGAGGAAAGAUUCAUCGGAAGAGGAUGGGCAUGCGGCGCAUUAGCUAGACGGCGGGGUAACGCCCACCGUGGCGACGAUGCGUAGGGGUUCUGAGAGGAAGGUCCCCCACACUGGUACUGAGACACGGACCAGACUCCUACGGAAGGCAGCAG